CUCCAAAGGGAUCGCAUUGAUCUAACCUGCCGAUCGACGCCGACGUACGUACGUGCCCGAGGACAAGCAGAUCAGUCAGUGCAAUCCCUUUGGAAUU
rnacentral:miRNA from 7 species